AUAAACACUAGCUAGCCAUCACUGCCUCUUUUCACAUUGCUCACCUCUAAAAUCUCAUCGUCUCUCGUUCUCACCCAAGUUCAUCCCAGAAGGAGCACAAGCUUUCCGUCUCAACCGUCACCAUGAGGGCCAAGUGGAAGAAGAAGAGAAUGAGGAGGUUGAAGAGGAAGCGCCGAAAGAUGAGGCAGAGAUCUAAGUGAUUGCAGCAGCAGCAGCACCUGUUUCACAUGGCGUUUCUGAGCCUAGGCUUUUGAGUUUUAUCGGACUUAGUUGUUUGUUAGGGUUAAAAGCGACUCUCAUUUGGUACUUUUAUUUCAAGCUUUCUGUUACAUCUUCUACAUUUUUAAUUGAAAAUUCGACUUUUAUGAGUAAAUUUUGUUUCGUUCUGUGGA